GUCGUUCCCCUUUCCCAUUUGGGUCAUUCUGUUUCGAUAAGGCCGAGGGAGAGAGCCCGAGCGGCGGAGGAGGCGACGCGAUUCCAUGGCGAUUCUGAUCUUCCCCUCUCCUCGUGCUUGAUUUUUCCUCCGUGUUCCUUCGAUCCCGGCUCCCGUGGAACAUCUCAAUGUCAUCUUCAUCAUAAAUGCAUCUUCUUCAUCAAGGGAGGCAUUGCUUUCAGGUGGACAUAAUGAGAGGAGUUGACGAUUUUCAUGUACCUGUUGUUUUCCUCUGGAUUGAUAUUGCUGUGUAGCACAAGUGACUGCUUCUGUUCCACCUCCAGGUGCCAGAAGGAAAGGAGGACAAAUGGGAGGGACCGGUUCAACCUUUUUGUUUGUUUUUGGUUGACCAGUUUUCAACCCGACCCGUUUUCAACAGACAACUGUCAACAGUUCAUUGGAUGGAAAAAUUGACUGACAUCUAAUUACAAAUCAGUCAAAUUACAAAUAGACACUCCCUUUUUGUUUGGGGACCCAGGCACAAAUUAUUCUUCUGUGCAAAAUAAGAAAGAAAAUCCAAGAUUUUUCUUUCUGCA